rnacentral:rRNA from 1 species
UACGUAGGUGGCAAGCGUUGUCCGGAAUUAUUGGGCGUAAAGAGCUCGUAGGCGGUCUGUUGCGUCCGCUGUGAAAACCCGGGGCUUAACCCUGGGCUGGCAGUGGAUACGGACAGACUAGAGGUAGGUAGGGGAGAAUGGAAUUCCCGGUGUAGCGGUGAAAUGCGCAGAUAUCGGGAGGAACACCGGUGGCGAAGGCGGUUCUCUGGGCCUUACCUGACGCUGAGGGGCGAAGGCCAGGGGAGCAAACGGG